rnacentral:rRNA from 1 species
CAGCAGCCACGGUAAUACAGAGGGUGCGAGCGUUAAUCGGAUUUACUGGGCGUAAAGCGUGCGUAGGCGGCUUCUUAAGUCGGAUGUGAAAUCCCUGAGCUUAACUUAGGAAUUGCAUUCGAUACUGGGAAGCUAGAGUAUGGGAGAGGAUGGUAGAAUUCCAGGUGUAGCGGUGAAAUGCGUAGAGAUCUGGAGGAAUACCGAUGGCGAAGGCAGCCAUCUGGCCUAAUACUGACGCUCAUGCACGAAAGCGUGGGGAGCAAACAGGAUUAGAUACCCCGGUAGUCCCUGUCUCUUAUAC